rnacentral:rRNA from 1 species
UAAGACGAACCGUCCAAACGUUAUUCGGAAUUACUGGGCUUAAAGGGUGCGUAGGCGGCCUGACAAGUUGGGUGUGAAAUACCUCGGCUCAACCGAGGAAUAGCGCUCAAAACUGCCAGGCUUGAGGGAGAUAGAGGUGAGCGGAACUUAAGGUGGAGCGGUGAAAUGCGUUGAUAUCUUAAGGAACACCCGUGGCGAAAGCGGCUCACUGGAUCUCUUCUGACGCUCAUGCACGAAAGCUAGGGGAGCAAACGGGAUUAGAUACCCCGGUAGUCCUAGCCGUAAACGAUGAGCACUGGGUUGGAGGCCCCUCCAUAGGCUUCCGGCCGAAGCGAAAGUGUUAAGUGCUCCGCCUGGGGAGUAUGGUCGCAAGGCUG